GCUUAGCCCUAAACCCUUAAUUACACCCAAAACGCCAGGGUACUACGAGCAAAGCUUAAAACCCAAGGGACUUGACGGUACCCCAUACCCCCUAGAGGAGCCUGUCCUAUAAUCGAUAACCCCCGUUCAACCUCACCAUCUUUAGUUUAUCAGUUUGUAUACCUCCGUCGUCAGCUUACCGCAUGAGUGCCCUAAAGUAAGCUCAUCGUCCUUACCCGUCAACACGUCAGGUCAAGGUGCAGCUAAUAAGAUGGGAAGAGAUGGGCUACACUCUCUAAAAUAGAGUAUACAGAGAACUUAUAUGAAACCCAGUUCAAAGGCGGAUUUAGAAGUAACAGGGGCAAUAGAACCCCUUUUAAUUAGGCCCUGAGGUGUGUACACACCGCCCGUCACCCUCCUCGCAGCUCUCGUAAAAGUAUUUAACAUAUUCCAGCAUCGUAGAGGAGGUAAGUCGUAACAAGGUAAGUGCACCGGAAGGCGCACUUGGAAA
rnacentral:rRNA from 1 species